rnacentral:rRNA from 1 species
UACGUAGGGGGCAAGCGUUGUCCGGAUUUAUUGGGCGUAAAGAGCGUGUAGGCGGCUAGGUAGGUCCGUUGUGAAAACUCGAGGCUCAACCUCGAGACGUCGAUGGAAACCAUCUAGCUAGAGUCCGGAAGAGGAGAGUGGAAUUCCUGGUGUAGCGGUGAAAUGCGCAGAUAUCAGGAAGAACACCCGUGGCGAAGGCGGCUCUCGUGGUACGUGACUGACGCUGAGCACGCGAAAGCGUGGGGAGCAAACAGG